UACAGAGGUCCCAAGCGUUGUUCGGAUUCACUGGGCGUAAAGGGUGCGUAGGCGGUCGGGUAAGUCUGAUGUGAAAUCUCACAGCUUAACUGUGAAACUGCAUUGGAUACUAUUCGGCUUGAGAGUUGGAGGGGGGGACUGGAAUUCUUGGUGUAGCAGUGAAAUGCGUAGAUAUCAAGAGGAACACCCAUGGCGAAGGCAGCUCGCUGGCCUGCAACUGACGCUGAGGCGCGAAAGCGUGGGGGAGCAAACAGG
rnacentral:rRNA from 1 species